rnacentral:rRNA from 1 species
AUGUCAAGUCCUCAUGGCCCUUACGGGUCGGGCUACACACGUGCUACAAUGGCGGUGACAGUGGGAUGCGAUGGAGUGAUCCUGAGCAAAUCUCCAAAAGCCGUCUCAGUUCGGAUUGGAGUCUGCAACUCGACUCCAUGAAGUCGGAAUCGCUAGUAAUCGCGGAUCAGCACGCCGCGGUGAAUACGUUCCCGGGCCUU